GACGAACGCUGGCGGCGUGCUUAACACAUGCAAGUCGAACGGUAAGGCCCUUCGGGGUACACGAGUGGCGAACGGGUGAGUAGCACGUGGGUGAUCUGCCCUGCACUUCGGGAUAAGCCUGGGAAACUGGGUCUAAUACCGGAUAGGACCAAUGCCUGCAUGGGUGGUGGGGGAAAGCUUUUGCGGUGUGGGAUGGGCCCGCGGCCUAUCAGCUUGUUGGUGGGGUGAUGGCCUACCAAGGCGACGACGGGUAGCCGGCCUGAGAGGGUGACCGGCCACACUGGGACUGAGAUACGGCCCAGACUCCUACGGGAGGCAGCAGUGGGGAAUAUUGCACAAUGGGCGCAAGCCUGAUGCAGCGACGCCGCGUGAGGGAUGACGGCCUUCGGGUUGUAAACCUCUUUCAGCACCGACGAAGCGCAAGUGACGGUAGGUGCAGAAGAAGGACCGGCCAACUACGUGCCAGCAGCCGCCGUAA
rnacentral:rRNA from 1 species